ensembl:misc_RNA Metazoa_SRP Metazoan signal recognition particle RNA
GUUGGGUGUGGUGGUGGACGCCUGUAAUCCCAGCUACUUGGGAGGCUGAGGCAGGAGAAUUGCUUGAACCUGGGAGGUGGAGGUUGCAGUGAGCUGAGAUUGCGCCAUUGCACUCCAGCCUGGGCGACAAGAGUGAGACUCUCAAAAAAAAAAAAAAAAAAAAUUGAGACAGGGUUCUUGUUCUGUCUCCCAGGCUGGAUUGCAGUGGUGCAGUCUUGGCUCACUGCAACCUCUGGCUCCCAGGCUCAAGUGAUACUCCUGCCUUAG